rnacentral:pre_miRNA from 1 species
AAAGACUUAAUUCCUAGGUUUUCGUGUCCUACGUUUGACUAUCCGUCUUAUAUGAAACUUUUUUAUGAUUAGUAUUUUCAUUGUUGUUAAAUGAUAAAACAUAAAUAAUACUUUAUACGUGAUUUAUCUUUUUAAAUUUUUUCAUAUUUUUUUCAAAUAAGACGGACGGUCAAAUGUUGGACACGAAAACUCAGGAAUUAAGUUAUU